rnacentral:rRNA from 1 species
CGGGUCGCAGCAGUGGGGAAUAUUGGGCAAUGGACGCAAGUCUGACCCAGCGACGCCGCGUGCGGGAUGAAGGCCUUCGGGUUGUAAACCGCUUUCAGCAGGGAAGAAGCGAAAGUGACGGUACCUGCAAAAGAAGCACCGGCUAACUAUGUGCCAGCAGCCGCGGUAAUACAUAGGGUGCAAGCGUUGUCCGGAAUUAUUGGGCGUAAAGAGCUCGUAGGUGGUUCGUCACGUCGGAUGUGAAAAUCUGGGGCUUAACCCCAGACCUGCAUUCGAUACGGGCGAGCUAGAGUGUGGUAGGGGAGACUGGAAUUCCUGGUGUAGCGGUGGAAUGCGCAGAUAUCAGGAGGAACACCAAUGGCGAAGGCAGGUCUCUGGGCCAUUACUGACACUGAGGAGCGAAAGCGUGGGGAGCGAACAGGAUUAGAUACCCCCGU